UACGUAGGGACCGAGCGUUGUCCGGAAUCAUUGGGCGUAAAGAGCGUGUAGGCGGCUAUUUAAGUCCUGCGUGAAAUCCUGCGGCUCAACCGCAGACGGUCGUGGGAAACUGGAUGGCUAGAGUGCGGGAGAGGAGAGUGGAAUUCCCGGUCGUAGCGGUGAAAUGCGCAGAUAUCGGGAAGAACACCCGUGGCGAAGGCGGCUCUCUGGAACGCAACUGACGCUGAGACGCGAAAGCGUGGGGAGCAACAGGAUAGAAACCCUUCGUAGUC
rnacentral:rRNA from 1 species